rnacentral:rRNA from 1 species
UUAAGUGACUAAGCGUACACGGUGGAUGCCUGGGCAGUCAGAGGCGAUGAAGGACGUACUAACUUGCGAUAAGCGCAGAUAAGGCAGUAAGAGCCGUUUGAGUCUGCGAUUUCCGAAUGGGGAAACCCAACUGCAUAAGCAGUUACUGUUAACUGAAUACAUAGGUUAACAGAGCAAACCGGGGGAACUGAAACAUCUAAGUACCCCGAGGAGAAGAAAUCAACCGAGAUUCCGGUAGUAGCGGCGAGCGAACCUGGAUUAGCCCUUAAGCACUCGGUGAAGUAGGUGAACAAGCUGGAAAGCUUGGCGAUACAGGGUGAUAGCCCCGUAACCGACGCUUCAUCGAGCGUGAAAUCGAGUAGGGCGGGACACGUGAUAUCCUGUCUGAAUAUGGGGGGACCAUCCUCCAAGGCUAAAUACUCCUGACUGACCGAUAGUGAACCAGUACCGUGAGGGAAAGGCGAAAAGAACCCCUGUGAGGGGAGUGAAAUAGAACCUGAAACCGUGUACGUACAAGCAGUAGGAGCACCUUCGUGGUGUGACUAGCGUACCUUUUGUAUAAUGGGUCAGCGACUUAUAUUCAGUGGCAAGGUUAACCGUAUAGGGGAGCCGUAGCGAAAGCGAGUCUUAACUGGGCGCUCAGUCUCUGGAUAUAGACCCGAAACCGGGUGAUCUAGCCAUGGGCAGGUUGAAGGUUGAGUAACAUCAACUGGAGGACCGAACCGACUAAUGUUGAAAAAUUAGCGGAUGACUUGUGGCUAGGGGUGAAAGGCCAAUCAAACUCGGAGAUAGCUGGUUCUCCCCGAAAGCUAUUUAGGUAGCGCCUCGGACGAAUACUACUGGGGGUAGAGCACUGUUAAGGCUAGGGGGUCAUCCCGACUUACCAACCCUUUGCAAACUCCGAAUACCAGUAAGUACUAUCCGGGAGACACACGGCGGGUGCUAACGUCCGUCGUGGAGAGGGAAACAACCCAGACCGCCAGCUAAGGUCCCAAAGUAUUGCUAAGUGGGAAACGAUGUGGGAAGGCUCAGACAGCUAGGAUGUUGGCUUAGAAGCAGCCAUCAUUUAAAGAAAGCGUAAUAGCUCACUAGUCGAGUCGGCCUGCGCGGAAGAUGUAACGGGGCUAAGCAAUACACCGAAGCUGCGGCAAUAUCUUUUAGAUAUUGGGUAGGGGAGCGUUCUGUAAGCCGUUGAAGGUGAAUCGUAAGGUUUGCUGGAGGUAUCAGAAGUGCGAAUGCUGACAUGAGUAACGACAAAGGGGGUGAAAAACCUCCUCGCCGGAAGACCAAGGGUUCCUGUCCAACGUUAAUCGGGGCAGGGUGAGUCGACCCCUAAGGUGAGGCCGAAAGGCGUAAUCGAUGGGAAACGGGUUAAUAUUCCCGUACUUCUGACUAUUGCGAUGGGGGGACGGAGAAGGCUAGGUGGGCCAGGCGACGGUUGUCCUGGUUCAAGUGCGUAGGCUUGAGAGUUAGGUAAAUCCGGCUCUCUCUAAGGCUGAGACACGACGUCGAGCUGCUACGGCAGUGAAGUCAUUGAUGCCAUGCUUCCAGGAAAAGCCUCUAAGCUUCAGAUAGUCAGGAAUCGUACCCCAAACCGACACAGGUGGUCAGGUAGAGAAUACCAAGGCGCUUGAGAGAACUCGGGUGAAGGAACUAGGCAAAAUGGUACCGUAACUUCGGGAGAAGGUACGCUCUUGAUGGUGAAGUCCCUCGCGGAUGGAGCUGACGAGAGUCGCAGAUACCAGGUGGCUGCAACUGUUUAUUAAAAACACAGCACUGUGCAAAAUCGCAAGAUGACGUAUACGGUGUGACGCCUGCCCGGUGCCGGAAGGUUAAUUGAUGGGGUUAGCGCAAGCGAAGCUCUUGAUCGAAGCCCCGGUAAACGGCGGCCGUAACUAUAACGGUCCUAAGGUAGCGAAAUUCCUUGUCGGGUAAGUUCCGACCUGCACGAAUGGCGUAAUGAUGGCCACGCUGUCUCCACCCGAGACUCAGUGAAAUUGAAAUCGCUGUGAAGAUGCAGUGUACCCGCGGCUAGACGGAAAGACCCCGUGAACCUUUACUACAGCUUGGCACUGAACAUUGAACCUACAUGUGUAGGAUAGGUGGGAGGCUAUGAAGACGUGACGCCAGUUGCGUUGGAGCCGUCCUUGAAAUACCACCCUUGUAUGUUUGAUGUUCUAACUUAGACCCAUUAUCUGGGUUGAGGACAGUGCCUGGUGGGUAGUUUGACUGGGGCGGUCUCCUCCCAAAGAGUAACGGAGGAGCACGAAGGUGGGCUAAUCACGGUUGGACAUCGUGAGGUUAGUGCAAUGGCAUAAGCCCGCUUAACUGCGAGAAUGACGGUUCGAGCAGGUGCGAAAGCAGGUCAUAGUGAUCCGGUGGUUCUGUAUGGAAGGGCCAUCGCUCAACGGAUAAAAGGUACUCCGGGGAUAACAGGCUGAUACCGCCCAAGAGUUCAUAUCGACGGCGGUGUUUGGCACCUCGAUGUCGGCUCAUCACAUCCUGGGGCUGAAGUCGGUCCCAAGGGUAUGGCUGUUCGCCAUUUAAAGUGGUACGCGAGCUGGGUUUAGAACGUCGUGAGACAGUUCGGUCCCUAUCUGCCGUGGGCGUUGGAAGAUUGAAGGGGGCUGCUCCUAGUACGAGAGGACCGGAGUGGACGAACCUCUGGUGUUCGGGUUGUGUCGCCAGACGCAUUGCCCGGUAGCUAAGUUCGGAAUUGAUAAGCGCUGAAAGCAUCUAAGCGCGAAGCGAGCCCUGAGAUGAGUCUUCCCUGACAGUUUAACUGUUCUAAAGGGUUGUUCGAGACUAGAACGUUGAUAGGCAGGGUGUGUAAGCGUUGUGAGGCGUUGAGCUAACCUGUACUAAUUGCCCGUGAGGCUUAACCAU